AUAGCUCAGUGGCUAGUGCUUCAGACUGUAGAUCAGAUAGUGGGGGUUCGAUUCCCCAU
rnacentral:tRNA from 1 species